GGACGAACGCUGGCGGCGCGCUUAAUACAUGCAAGUCGAACGAGAAGCCAGAGCUUGCUCUGGUGGAAAGUGGCGAACGGGUGAGUAACACGUGAGAAACCUGCCCCAAAGAUUGGGAUAAGCCUUGGAAACGAGGUCUAAUACCAAAUACCUUCCUUUAACACAUGUUAAAAGAGAAAUGCUCCGGCGCUUUGGGAUGGUCUCGCGAUCUAUCAGCUUGUUGGUGAGGUAACGGCUCACCAAGGCAUCGACGGAUAGCUGGUCUGAGAGGAUGUCCAGCCACAUUGGAACUGAGACACGGUCCAAACUCCUACGGGAGGCAGCAGUAGGGAAUCUUGCACAAUGAGGGAAACCUUGAUGCAGCGACGCCGCGUGCGGGACGAAGGCCCUAGGGUUGUAAACCGCUUUCAGUAGGGACGAAAGUGACGGUACCUACAGAAGAAGCCCCGGCCAACUAUGUG
rnacentral:rRNA from 1 species